UACGUAGGGUGCGAGCGUUAAUCGGAAUUACUGGGCGUAAAGCGUGCGCAGGCGGCUUUGCAAGACAGAUGUGAAAUCCCCGGGCUCAACCUGGGAACUGCAUUUGUGACUGCAAGGCUAUAGUACGGCAGAGGGGGAUGGAAUUCCGCGUGUAGCAGUGAAAUGCGUAGAUAUGCGGAGGAACACCAAUGGCGAAGGCAAUCCCCUGGGCCUGUACUGACGCUCAUGCACGAAAGCGUGGGGAGCAAACAGG
rnacentral:rRNA from 1 species